ensembl:misc_RNA 7SK 7SK RNA
AAAUAUGAGGGCGAUAUGGCUAGACAGUGUCUCCUUCCUCCUUUACCCUUCCAUGCAUGUCCCUCCUGAAGCUGCCCACUCACUAUUUUGAAGACAAAGGGAGGACUUGACAAGUACCUGUGCUCUGCUAUUAGAGCCUCCAAACAAGCUCUCAAGAAGAAAGCUAGAUAAGGGCUGGUUUGGAGGCUAGUUCAGUCUAUUGUUCAUUGUUCUAAAUAAUAGGAACAAUUAA